AACAAGAGGAAAAGCAGCAGCUCAAAACAUAUCUUGCCUGGUUUAUGAAAACUGAAAUAACACCACUAGAUGAUGGAAGAAAAAACUUUAUAAGACAUGGGAAUAAGGAUACAACACAUCUACAACUGUGAGUCUGAAUUAAAAAGAAAAUUUGUCAAAAGAUCACUAUGCUCCAACUUGCAAACCUCUGCAUGCUAUGGUGUGAUAAUAAUUCAGAUGUGCUGGUGAGCCCUACCUAAACUGAAUGUAUUUUUAAUUGAAAAACCUUUUCAAAACAACAGAUUGAAGAAUAAAUAAAGGAAGAAAGAUAUUUUAGGUGGCUGUGGGGACAGGAGAUGAGGUUGUGAGAGUUUUCUGGGGGAAAUCCAGGCACAGGUAAAGGAAAACGUGGCAUGAAAAUUGGGAUAUCUGAGGAACCGGAGAAGAACCUGAAGGAGGAGAAAGGCACCAGAAGGAGCAUGGCAGUGAUGAAGGAGAUCCUCCGAUCCAGAAAUCUCCUGCUUGUUGUUCUCAUUCCACUUCUGCUGCUUCCCCUGCCACUCAUAUACCCCAGCAGUCCACCAGAGAUACCACAAGGAAUGCCACAUGAUUUCAGUCAGCUGGGGACAGGCUUUCUGUAACCAAUGUUGCUGUGGCCACCCUGCACCCAGGCAAGGACAUUUGGAUGACUCCUGAAAGUCACCUGCUGGCAGAGCUGUGAGAAUGUAUUAUCAGGGGAUGGUGGCACCUUGAUGUGCCAAAUCAGCAGAAUGGACCCUAAAGCACAGAACAUGCUCUGGAGAGCCACAGCUGACUCAUUUUCAUUCACCUUUGGUUUUAUUUACACAAGCUGAAGCAUGGAAUUUCAGCAUGGUCCCAUAAAAUCAAAGAUGUUACCCCAGAGGCUGGACUACCUGUUUGCAGAGCUUAACCACAUGUCUGCAUGCAAGAUAUGCAAUGGGCAAAUAAGUGGGCAAAUUUCCAACAUAGAAUUUAUUCUUCCUUUUAAUCGUUUUGAGAUCCUUGGAUAUUUUAGUUACAGAAGUUU
rnacentral:lncRNA from 1 species